GAAAAAAUAAGUACAAUGAGUUUUUCUUAUUUCUCUUUUUUUAAUGUCAAAUAUUGUUUGAUUAGAUCAACCACGAUGCUGGUGACUGGCCUUAUGAUUGCUCUUGGUAGGAACAAUAUAUGCACAAAUUCCCCCGUCCCAUUUUAUGUGAAGGAUUCGGAGUACAAGGAUCAAAGCACCUAUAUUUUUAUGUGAACUCGAGCAUAGGUUUGUCAAGUCUAUAUCAAAUAAUAACAUUAUUUUUGUAAUAGUUUGGGAGCCAAGUAAAACAUAAGAUAUACUUGGAGAACAAUAAUUUGCUUGCUCAUUUUAUCUAUAACUGUGGUGUCCAGCCCAGCUUGCGAGCACCUCGACUAAUUCCACGAUGAUACCUACUAACUCUCACCAGCAACAGAUACCGGGAAGGGAAGUCACCGAGUGUGUUUUGUCUCCGUUGGGAAUCAAACCUGAGAUCUCAUGGAUCUAAACUCACUUUAUUGAUCACUAAGCCACACCUGUAGGUGCCCAAAAAAAAAGUUUCACCUACAUUCACAAGGCACACACUAGGGACAUAAAGAAUCACAAGAUACUUCAAUGUGAAGUGAAAACACAUAGACAGGAGAAUAGAAAGAGUAACUAACUCUUUUUCUUCUAUGAUAGAGCAUAAGAUCACCUCAAGAUCUAAAAGCAAGGCAGAGAGGGUCCUUAUCGACGCGGACUUGCCAACUAAAUGCAACUCGAAUCGCAGUUCAGAUGAUCAGGUAUUACCACGUUAUGUAUCAUUCCCUCUUUCCAUAGACGAGACAGAAAGAAAAACAUAAAAGAUACAAUAAAAGACAGUAAGGAUGAUCAUGAUUCAUGAUCAAUCUACUCUUUCAGCCUGCAUAUACAAGUUAAAAGUGAUACUUGAAGACCUCAAAAGAUUCAUAAGAACCAAGGACUAAUUUCUUUCUUGAAGAAGAUUUUCCAUUAAUCUCUCUCCAUAUAAAGUUAUAAACUAUUGAUUUUCUAAAGACCAUUGCAUUCUGGAUCCAUCAAGGUAAACUCGAAGGGCAUGAAAGUAAUAUUACCAACAAGGAGAUGAACCUACUGAAAAGUAAUUUAAAAAGGAGCUUUUUGUUUUAAGAUAUUUAACAAGUACAAGCAUACAUGAAGAUUCAACAAUAAAAGAAAGAGUUAAAACUUGAAAUUCAAAUUCCGAGAUAUCUAUCACAUCUUCAGAACCACACCUUCUCAUCAACUGAAACAAUAAACGAAAAUGUUUCCCUAUUAAGCAACUCCUAAUCAAUCAACAGUAAUUCUUCUUCUAUCACAAAAAUAAGCAGACGUUAGACAAAAAUAAUCGAACUUCAUCUAAACAAAAAGAAGGGCUCUGAGGCUGUCUCUAUAAGUACUGGUUAUCACAAUAUCGUGGCGGUACUUUUAGUAGGAAAAAUUAUGCUCUCCUGUCAAAGCCAGCUAUGAGAACGUUGUUAUUACAAGCCGCCACCUUUUCUUCUUUUAGAUAGAACAUGUGAUUACAUUUUCCAAUGAUGUGAUUGUUGCCUAAAAUUCCAGCACCAAGGUUGUACGGGUGCUUCAGUGACGACUUCCUUUUAUAUCUAACACUUCUCCAACUUUAAAGCAUGAUUAACAAGAUUCUGCAGGUUAUGUUACUCGAGGAAAUAUAUAUGCAGUAAAACACUGUAAUCAACCAUACCUCGUCGACUUAGUGGGUGUAUUCUCAUUGUAUAAAAACUGUAGUUUACAGCAUUCUUGAUGCCACUCCGGCAAUAAUUUCGGACAUCAACUAAUCCACAUGCAAUAGAGAAGUAUAAUCAGUGUCUUGCAAAGUUAGUCUACCUAAGUACAAGUCACUAAUAUGGUCAGAGCAUAAAGGGAUGCAUCUCUUGUUCAAACUCUCAUGUAUAGCACCCAUUCCUGGAACCCACUUACUUCUAUCCGAUGGAUCCAAAUUAAGAAGAUUCUGAAGUAACCUAAUCCGGUAAACAGUUGUAUCUCUUCUGUCGCAAAAAUGAGCAGCACAUCGGUAAGAGGGCUCAUCAGAAGCUAAUCUAAUCAAUGCCAUCCCCAGAGAAACAUCAACAGGCUUUGGAUCAAUAAGAUCAUUAUCUCCCAUCAUUUUGACUUGCCUUUCUGUCGGAAAAUAUACUUCUUCAACCCCAUUAACAUUUGUAACUUUCAGAUCUUUGGUGUAAUGUCUGAUUGCCUCCCGCUUCGUGGAUUCAUGCUUGUCUGCUAAAGUCAAGAUGCACGAGAAUCUCAAAUGAUAAGAUACUAUAAUCUUCAGCUUUUUGAAGUUGUGGCAGCAGCAAAAGAAAUCAAGCCACCUUCUCCCUAUACCGGCAUACCACUUGAUAAGAUCAACAUCUUCAAGUGCCAUAAGUAAACUAAUCGGCCUAGGACGGCCCAUAUGAUUUGUGAAUCCGACAAGCUUGACUGCCUUCCUAACAAUUUCUAAGGGCGCCUCAACUUUUAUGCAUAACUUUGUCAGAUCUGCAACCGUCUGAUCGGAGUAUUUCCUUUCCUCUUCUUCCUCUGCUUUCUUUACGUGUUCCUCUAAUACCCUUUUUGCUUUGACAGGAUUUAUAUACCUGUCAACUUGCUCUUGAAAGUUGUCAUAAGAAUCCACUAGUUCUUGCGGCAGUUGAUCUCGGAUUCUUCUCAAAGAGAGGAAGUCACCAGCUGAGAGCAUCCGGUGCCAUUCCCAACGCUCAUUGACAGAUUCCAAAAAGUCUUGCAUGACCUCUUCAGCCCAAGAAUCAAAAAUUUGGUUGACUUCAUUCUCAAUCGGGAAAUCAGAUUUGAAACCAUUACCACGCUUCAACUUCUUAAAUACAUGACUGAAUAUCUUCAUUCCCAAUUUCUUCCUAUUAGUCUCUUUAGCAUUUCUCAACUCCAUAGCUCUAACUUCUUUCUGUCGGAGGUACUUCUUCCUCGCCCUAAUCGCCUUUUGUGACAUCGGUGGGUGCAACACAGAUGGUGUAACUGCCCGAAGCUCCAUUCCCAAAAAUUCUAUCUUUUCAGAAGUAGCACUAUGAAUAACAGUUCUAACCUUAUCAAUACCUAAUUCCAUAUCUUUCUCAAGAAUCUGAACAAGCCUACUCUUCAAAUCCAUAGUCAUCAUCUUUGUUCCCGACGUGAUAACCAAUAUCUCAUCCAAAUAUCUAACUGCAUAUAUCUUCAACGGCUUACAAAAAGCAUGCCCCCGAUAUCCCUCAUCAAGUUCAUUAGCAUCGACUCUCGGAUUCUCCCUAAUCGUUUUAAGCCUCAAAUCUUGAAUCUCCUUAUCAAAACUAUUAAAGUAAAUGUUAAUCAAAAUUGAACUCAACCCACAUUCUUGAGGAAACCCUCUACCAAAAUAACAGCCACCCAACUGAAUACUCACUAUUUCACAUUCAAACAACCUUUUUAUCAAAUAAAUCAAUGCCUCAUCGUCGAUUUUCUCUUCCAUAACCCUACACAACCUAACAACAUGCUUAUUUUCAAACUUUGCAGGAUUCAAAUUAACAGUAAACCACCAAGUGGGGUUCUCAACAGAGUUCUUAAGGUAACGAAUCGCGGUGUGUCGGCCCAUAUUAACACGUCCACCAUAACAAAAAGUCACAAACCUAUCAUCAUAUAUAACUUCAAGAACCAUUCUAAUAGCUUCAAUAACUACUUUAAGCUUUAAAUUAGGAAGCACAAGUGAUUUACCUAUGAUAAAGCUGCAAUCUUUGAUGUCAAAUUGGUUUGUAGAGAGCUGAAAAGAGAGUUCUUGAAGUGAGAAAAAAUGGGUUGAAACAGAAUCAAGAGUGAGUUGAGGGGUAGUUUUGUAAUUAUAAUUUGGGGGUUUGAGAUUAUGGCAAGCUGAGAGGAGGAAAGAGGGUAAAGAGAUGAUGUUCUUGAGGAGGUUCUGAAAUUUUCCAUGGUUAUAAUUGGAGAAAAUGAGGUUCUUGAUUUCUGAUUGUGAAAGGCUUGAAAGAUGGAGUUUUGGAAGCGAAAAAGGUUUAAUCUUAGAAGCAAAGUGCAGAGUGAAGUUGGGUUUGGUUCUUCUGAGAGUUAAGAGCAUUGAAGCUUUAAGAAAACCUCACUUGUGUGAUUUUUCACUUCCAAUUUGAAGUUUUAAGCUUGGUAGAAUCAGCUAAUAAGCAGCCUAUGGGUAUAAUAUAGGCAAAAUUUUAAAUACGUAUAUCAAAUCAAUUAAUAUAGAUUAAGUACUCCACUAUUUUUUUUAGGGAAAUGAUACCGGAAAAUAACAAAAAAAUAAUACUAUAAUAGAAUUAUUUGUAAGCGAAAAUACAUUAACUGGCUUGAGUCGUGCUAGACACUGUCAUAAGAAACUAUUUCAACAAUGUAAAAUAUUUCCUCGGGAUUAAAUAAGCCUACCUCUAUUUUAUUUACAGGAUACAGGAAUCAGUAAAAUUAGAUAAUAAAUCUAGCAAUUUAAAAGAGAAAGAGCAACUAAUAUCUUAUGCCAAUUAAAAUAUUAUAGAAGAAGAAAUUAGAAAGGAGCGGGACAUAUAGGAGAGAAAGAAGAAAGAAGAAUUUCUUCUUUGCUAAUGAUUAGCUUUUCUUAAUAUUUGAUGAUUGAACAAUAAUGGUCUAAUCAUGGCUAUUUAUAGGCCUAAGGAAGUCUUCUUUACAAGAUAAGUGUUCUACUUGUUAAAUUUCCUUCAUGCAGAUGAUAUUUGGACAAAAUAAGCCAUUUGUCCAUAACUUCUAAAAAGCUUACAUGCAUAAUGACACUUGGACUUAUUUAUUUUGAAAAUACUACUACAUUUUUAAUAUUGAUAUAAAAUAUAACAUGAAAUAACAAUAUAAAACAAGCAAAAACAAACUAAGAGAUAUAGAGAGAAAGAGAGGAAGAGAGAUUCUUAUUUAUUCUUCAAUUGUGUGUAUUUUCCUAGAGAUUAUUAUUUCUUCUUCAAUUGUGUGUAUUUUCCUAUCUAUUACAAUGCCUUUAUAUAGGCAUAAAAGUAAAGAAAAUAUGUCAUGGAAUAUGUCAUUGAACAUACAAAAUAUAUCAUGGAAUAUGUCAUUAACCAUUUGAGAUGAAGAUCAUGCAAGAAGAGUAGACAUCCAACAUAAUGUGAUAUUUAUCAUAACACUCCCCUUUUGGAUGUCCAUAGAUAGUGUGCCACGUUAACCUUAUUAGGAAAAAACCAUAUGGGAAAGAAAAAUCCUAGUGAAGGAAAAAGAGUACACAUGUUUAGAAAUACGCCUUUUGGUUGUCUCGUUAAAAUCCUUGCAAGGAAAACCUAGUGGGACAAAAUCUUGUAAGGGAAAAGAGUACAACGCGUAUUAACUCCCUUGAUGAGAGCAUCAACUCACAUCCUUGAGCUUUCGCAUCCCAAUCUUGUGUAUUAGCUUCUUGGAGGUUGACGUCGGUAGAGACUUGGUGAACAAAUCAGUCAUAUUAUCACUUGAACGAAUCUAAUGCACAUUGAUAUCACCAUUCUUUUGAAGUUGCCGGGAUGACUGUCUCGAUAUUGUUGUUCCCUUGCUGGGAAGUUAUUAUAUUGCUUAUGUUCCCUUGCCGGAAUUUAUUAUAAUUUUGUGAUGACUUGUAAAUGGGAGCGGGUGGUACGCUUACCACAAGAUAUGAUGAAAUGGGAGCGGGUGGUACGCCUACCACAAGAUAUAAUUAAAUGGGAGCGGGUGGUACGCCUACCACAAUAUACGAUAAAAUGAGAGCGGGUGGUACGCCUACCACGAGAUUUAAUGAAAUGAGAGUGGGUGGUACGCCUACUACAUGAUAUAAGGAAAUGGGAGCGUGUGGUACGUCUACCACACGAUAUGAGAAAUGGGAUUGGAUUGCAUGCCUGCAACAAGAUGAAACUGAAAGUGAAAGUUGCCUUUAUUUCUCUUUAUCCAUGUUAGAAGUUAAAUUGUAGUUUCCUUGUUAUUCUUUGAUAUUCUGUUUUAUCUGCGACCCCCGAAGCAUGUUUCCCUUCCCCAACAUUAAUUGUUUAUCUCCUUUAAUUUUUCCGUUGUAUAUGUAUAUAUAUAACUGCAUAGGUUUAUCUGGAGUCUGGUCCUAGCCUCGUCACUACCUCGCCGGGGUUAGGCCAGAUAUUUACCAGCACAUGGGGUCGGUUUGUGCUGAUGUUACACUUUGCACUUAUGUGCAGAUACCAUAUCAACGUUUGGGCAUCAACAUUAGUUCGGGAGUCAGCCUUCAGUCCACCGAGAUACCGAAGUAGCCUUGGAGAUGUCUGCAGGUCCGGCGUCUCCUCUAUCCUAUUUUGCAUUCUGUUAUCUCAUGUAUUCGAGACAGAUAAUAUUAUCUUUCUUUCAAACUGAUGUAUGUAGUAUUCUUAGUAGUCUGUGGAUGUUGUGUCACCUGGUUGUGGGUAGAGACAUGUACUGGUUUUCUAGAUAUUUUGGUUUCAUAUUUAUUUAAGACUUCCGCUAAAUUUUAUUUUCCGUUGUCAUUUACAUGCUUAUUAUUGUUAAUUUAAUUGGUUAAAAUGAAAGAGUAAAUGACUUCGAGGUUCAUGGCUUGCCUAGUUUUUAUAUGUAGGCGUCAUCACGUCUCCCGAGGAUGGGAAUUCCGGGUCCUGACAUUAUAGUUGAUAUUUUACACAUUAGAUAGAUCUCCAUCGGGAUGAAGAUUAUAAGAAAGUGCCAUUAAGAAAAAAUAAAAAUAUUAGAAUUAAGAAAAUUUUCAUUAAGACAAAUUAAAAAGAAAAGUAAGACAGAUAAAUUGAAAUAGUAGGAAAAGAUUAAAAAGGAAAGGCUAUUGAGUUUAAAUUGUUUACACUAAUGGUUUAAAGGUAAUUUUUGCAAUUGUUUAUACAAUAAUUACAAAAAUUCUUUGUAAUAAACAUUAAUUAAGAGAAAUAGCAGUUCUGGUCCUCAAAUUAUUUGACGUAGCAUAUUUGACCUUUGAUUAAAUUUAUUGUGCCAUUUUCGUCACUGAUCUAAUAGAAACUCACAUAUGUUAGUUUAGGUUAAGGGCAAUUUUGGUGUUUGAUAAUUCUAUGCGGUGAAAAAAGACAGUAUAAUCAAGAAGUAUGUUUACGUAAAGAAAUAACAUAAUUUUUUAUUUAUAAUUUUAAUAAUUACAUUUUAAUGACCUUGAUAUGAAGGUAUGGGGGUAGAGAAUGUUGUGAAGGAAGACAUAACUUGACUGUUGUUAAUGUAUUUAUGUAUAAUUAGUUAAUUAGAGAAUUAGUGAAGAGUUAGUGGUAGUUACAAAAAGAUAGCUACACGUGUAUAAAAUGAGACAUGUACAGUGUAAUAGAUAGAAUGGAAAUGAGCUUUCAUUGUUCCACUCGUUCUCUUCUCCCUAUUUUCUCUUCCUCUUAUUCAUCUUUUCUCCCUUCAUUCUAGGGAUCGUACAGGUAGAAGUUCAUCAACUUCAGCAUGAUAUCAGAGCUUCAAGCUCAAAAUUGAAGCUCUGAGAUCGAUCCGC
rnacentral:lncRNA from 1 species